CCAGACUCCUACGGGAGGCAGCAGUGAGGAAUAUUGGUCAAUGGGCGGGAGCCUGAACCAGCCAAGCCGCGUGAGGGAAGAAGGUACAGCGUAUCGUAAACCUCUUUUGUCAGGGAACAAAGGCGGGGACUAGUCCCCGGAUGAGGGUACCUGAAGAAAAAGCAUCGACUAACUCCGUGCCAGCAGCCGCGGUAAUACGGAGGAUGCGAGCGUUAUCCGGAUUUAUUGGGUUUAAAGGGUGCGCAGGCGGUCCUGCAAGUCUGGAGUGAAACGCAUGAGCUCAACUCAUGCAUGGCUUUGGAAACUGGAGGACUGGAGAGCAGGAGAGGGCGGUGGAACUCCAUGUGUAGCGGUAAAAUGCGUAGAUAUAUGGAAGAACACCAGUGGCGAAGGCGGCCGCCUGGCCUGUUGCUGACGCUGAGGCACGAAAGCGUGGGGAGCAAAUAGGAUUAGAUACCCUAGUA
rnacentral:rRNA from 1 species